UACGUAGGGGGCGAGCGUUGUCCGAAGUUACUGGGCGUAAAGCGCACGUAGGCGGUUAUCUAAGUCUGGGGUGAAAGGUUCAGUGCUUAACGCGAACAGUGCCUUGGAGACUGGAUGACUUGAGUUUGGGAGAGGGUAGUGGAAUGGCUGGUGUAGCGGUGAAAUGCGUAGAUAUCAGGAGGAACACCGGUGGCGAAGGCGGAUCUCUGGGCCUUACCUGACGCUGAGGCGCGAAAGCUAGGGGAGCGAACAGG
rnacentral:rRNA from 1 species